rnacentral:rRNA from 1 species
AACGAACGCUGGCGGCAUGCCUAACACAUGCAAGUCGAACGAAGGCUUCGGCCUUAGUGGCGCACGGGUGAGUAACGCGUGGGAAACUGCCUAUUGGUGGGGAAUAACGACGGGAAACUGUCGCUAAUACCGCAUAAGCCCUUCGGGGGAAAGAUUUAUCGCCGAUAGAUGUGCCCGCGCCCGAUUAGCUAGUUGGUGAGGUAAUGGCUCACCAAGGCGACGAUCGGUAGCUGGUCUGAGAGGAUGAUCAGCCACACUGGGACUGAGACACGGCCCAGACUCCUACGGGAGGCAGCAGUGGGGAAUAUUGGACAAUGGGCGAAAGCCUGAUCCAGCAAUGCCGCGUGAGUGAUGAAGGCCUUAGGGUUGUAAGGCUCUUUCGGGUGGGACGAUGAUGACGGUACCACCAGAAGAAGCCCCGGCUAACUUCGUGCCAGCCGCCGCAGUAA